AUGAAAAUGAAAGCAAGCCUGGUUCUAACGACGUUGCUCGCGGCGGCGGUCGGGUUCUUCAUCGGCGUUUCCUUUCCUGUGGACAUCACACCAAAGCUUCAGUGUGGCAUCCUCCCUUGGAGCAGCAGCUUCAGUCGCAACACCAUGUUGGGCAGAUUAUGGGGAGCGCCGUUCAGGAACAGCAGCUCCGGCACCCCAAAUGCAACGGGUUCAGAGCCGCUUGUAGAGGUUGCAACAGCAAGAAACCCUGUAGAAGGGGCGGAGAGGCGGCUGCCUCCAGGGAUUGUGGUCUCGGAAUCCGAUCUUCACCUGCGCAGGCUCUGGGGAUCCCCAAAACAGGACAGCCCAGCCCGCAAGUACCUCCUCGCCCUCGCGGUCGGGUAUGGUGAGAGAGCCAAUGUCAACGCAACUGUCCACAAGUUCUCCGACAACUUCGACAUCGUGCUGUUCCACUAUGAUGGACGCACUACAGAGUGGGACCAAGAGUUUGAGUGGUCUAAGAAGGUCACUCAUGUCAGCGCCAGGAAGCAGACCAAAUGGUGGUUCGCUAAGAGGUUCCUGCAUCCGAGCAUCGUCGCGCCCUAUGACUACGUGUUCGUUUGGGACGAGGACCUCGGCGUCGACAACUUUGCCGCGGAACCGUAUCUGGACAUCGUGAGGAGGCACGGGCUGGAGAUCUCGCAGCCGGGGCUGGACGUGACCAAGGGGCCCGCACCGACUUACUACAUCACCGCCAGGAAAAACGGCAGCGAGAUGCACAAGACAGAUGCAGGUGGGGAGCAUUGCUCAGACGUGGGCAAGCGCCCGUGCAGCGGGUUCGUGGAGGUGAUGGCGCCGGUCUUCUCCAGGGAUGCUUGGAGAUGCGUGUGGCAUAUGAUCCAGAAUGACUUUGUCCAUGCAUGGGGUCUUGACUCCAAUUUCUGGAGAUGCGUCGAUGACCCCGAAGAGCAGAUCGGUGUCGUAGACGCGCAGUACUUGGUUCAUCAUGCCGUUCCCACGCUCGAAGGCCAGGGUGAGAAAGAAAAAGGAGGCCGUUUGCAGGUAAAAGCGCGUCAAUAUGAGGAGAUGUUUGCCUUUCGCUCUAGGGUUUCCCGUGCGGACAAGGAAGUUGCCAACAGAACAUCAAUACAGAACUAG
rnacentral:rRNA from 1 species